rnacentral:rRNA from 1 species
UAGGGAUACGCUGCUAUAAUGCAGUCGAGCGAAUGGAUUAAGAGCUUGCUCUUAUGAAGUUAGCGGCGGACGGGUGAGUAACACGUGGGUAACCUGCCCAUAAGACUGGGAUAACUCCGGGAAACCGGGGCUAAUACCGGAUAACAUUUUGAACCGCAUGGUUCGAAAUUGAAAGGCGGCUUCGGCUGUCACUUAUGGAUGGACCCGCGUCGCAUUAGCUAGUUGGUGAGGUAACGGCUCACCAAGGCAACGAUGCGUAGCCGACCUGAGAGGGUGAUCGGCCACACUGGGACUGAGACACGGCCCAGACUCCUACGGGAGGCAGCAGUAGGGAAUCUUCCGCAAUGGACGAAAGUCUGACGGAGCAACGCCGCGUGAGUGAUGAAGGCUUUCGGGUCGUAAAACUCUGUUGUUAGGGAAGAACAAGUGCUAGUUGAAUAAGCUGGCACCUUGACGGUACCUAACCAGAAAGCCACGGCUAACUACGUGCCAGCAGCCGCGGUAAUACGUAGGUGGCAAGCGUUAUCCGGAAUUAUUGGGCGUAAAGCGCGCGCAGGUGGUUUCUUAAGUCUGAUGUGAAAGCCCACGGCUCAACCGUGGAGGGUCAUUGGAAACUGGGAGACUUGAGUGCAAAAGAGGAAAGUGGGAAUUCCAUGUGUAGCGGUGAAAGUUGUAU